ensembl:lncRNA
UAUCCAUGACUCACCCGACAUUUAGGACAAUGCAAGCAAGGCUCAACAGUAUACAGUCGACCUGAAGGCCCAGUGCCAGUGAGAGAAGGACAGUGGAAACAAUACUGAACAUUAUUAUUGCAGAUUUUGUUGCUGUAAAGGUUUCACAGAGGCACGCAAGGGUCCCGAACUCCCUGGAGCAGGUAACGACGCUGCGUUUGCCGGUCUCACAGGUGCAUUGUUGAAGAUAGAGGCUACAGUGGAGCUCAUGUAUCAUACAGUAUGCUGUGGGCCUUCACAGAGAGAGAGAGAGAGAGAGAGAGAGAGAGAGAGAGAGAGAAUUAAGGACAUGUGAGGGAAAGGUUUGAGGAGCAGCACCUGGCCGGUGAAGUGGAGCAAGCAGGAGAGAACGGAGAGCUCUGGGAAACAGAUCACUACUUUGGAAAAGGAAGGUAAUGCUGAUGUGAACACGCUCACCUGGGGAUGACAUAAAUCACUGAUCGGCCAGAGGAGCCGACAGCCGCUGAAUACACAGGAAGAGAUAGAGAGGAGAAUGAAGGGAGAGGAUAAGAGGAGAAAGAGAGAACUACUGAGACACUGGAAGAAAGGGCCAUUGUGAGUGUGUGUGUGUGUGUGUGUGUGUGAGAGAGAGAGAGUAUCAGCUUUGUCUCAGAUGCGUGUUCUUAAAUCCGAUGGGAUGAGUGAAAAUAUAAACCAAAAAACAACAGAGUGCAGCAGCAGCAUCGUGUCCAUUCAACAAUGACUGGGAUUUUGAGCCAAGGGACUUUUGAAAAUAAUAUCUUCGUAUCAUUAAAAAGGAUGAUUAUUGUAAAUCAGAAGUGUUUGUCUAAAACUCUGAAUCAGAAAUCACUCGAUCAUGUCUAAAUUUAGGACACGUCAGUCAUACUUUCUGCUGAUCAUCAACAUUAACACCAUCAUGAUGCUGGAAAUGGAAAAGAUUUCAUGAUGAAAAUGUAAAAGAUGCUCUUUUCCUUUAAAAUAAAUACAAUCAAUCAAUCA